rnacentral:lncRNA from 1 species
GCUGGGGCCGACCCCAGAUAGACCCAGGAAUGGAGAGCUGGAGCCCCCGGCCACUUUUUGCGGAUCGACCCUUAACUUCAACGUUGUGAAUCCGGAGCGUCGGGAUGGUGGGGAAGACUGAAACCCAUUGGAUCUGGGGACUUGCUGCAGCGACUCCGUCCGCGCGCUGUUCCUGGGGCCCAAGCCUGCUCCGCGCGCUGUUCCUGGGACCCAAGCCUGCUCCGCGCGCGCCCCCUGCUGGACACCGCUUGCCGGGCGCAGAGGCGGAUCAAUGGCGGAGGGUGCCGGCUGGGCGAGGAAGAUGUGGCUGGAACCCUGCACCAAGGCGAGCGCUGCCCGCGGCUCUGCAGUCCUGCGGCGCGAUACUCCAGUGGGGCGCGCUUAACCAAAGUCCCGAGGCUUUACUUCCCGUGCCCACCCAGUCUAUGUCCCAGGGGGAAAAAAAAUCCACAUUUGCCUAUGAGAAGACUGUUGAUUUCAGAGGAAAGUAGCAACCCGUGGCAGUUUGCUGGAGGCAACUGAGAGGAAUUUUCUGAAUGGUUCUAAUGAAGCUCGACAUUAUUAAUAAUCUGGGAUCCAGCCCAUGACCCUCCUCCCAGCAUUUUCAUGAAAUUAGCUUAACGUACUGGCAAGGCCUUUUAUUGCCAUCCAAAUUAACAACAGCUCUUCCAGUGGCAGCUCAUGUAAUUAUCUGGGUCUGUGCUUGUCUCACUGAAUAAGAGGAACUCCUGCCUGGAAGAGGCAAUACUCCUACAUUCAAGGGGGAACCUGGCCUAGCAAGAUGGCUCAUGCCUGUAAUCCCAGCACUUUGGGAUGCCAAGGUAGGAGGAGUAUUUGAGCCCAGGAGUUUAAGACCAGCUUGGGCAACAGAGUGAGACCUCAUCUCUACAUUUUUUUUAAUUAGUUGGGCAUGGUGGCGCACACCUGUGGUCCCAGCUACUCUGGAGGGAGACUGAGACCAGAGGAUUGCUUGAGCCCAGGAGGUUGAGGCAGCCAUGAGCCAUGAUCACACCACUGCACUCCAGUCUGGGCAACAGAGUGAGACCCUGUCUCAAACAAACAAACAAACAAAAAACCAUAAAAACCCCAAAAAACAAGUAAGGGGGGCGGGGUGCAAAAUGCUUGGCAGUCCCACCCCAGUUCAGG